AUUGAACGCUGGCGGCAGGCUUAACACAUGCAAGUCGAGCGGAGUGAUGGUGCUUGCACUAUCACUUAGCGGCGGACGGGUGAGUAAUGCUUAGGAAUCUGCCUAUUAGUGGGGGACAACAUCUCGAAAGGGAUGCUAAUACCGCAUACGUCCUACGGGAGAAAGCAGGGGAUCACUUGUGACCUUGCGCUAAUAGAUGAGCCUAAGUCGGAUUAGCUAGUUGGUGGGGUAAAGGCCUACCAAGGUGACGAUCUGUAGCGGGUCUGAGAGGAUGAUCCGCCACACAGGGACUGAGACACGGCCCAGACUCCUACGGGAGGCAGCAGUGGGGAAUAUUGGACAAGGGGGGAACCCUGAUCCAGCCAUGCCGCGUGUGUGAAGAAGGCCUUAUGGUUGUAAAGCACUUUAAGCGAGGAGGAGGCUCUUUUGGUUAAUACCCAAGAUGAGUGGACGUUACUCGCAGAAUAAGCACCGGCUAACUCUGUGCCAGCAGCCGCCGUAA
rnacentral:rRNA from 1 species